CAACUCCAUUUUAUUUAAUCUUUCUAAAUGGAUAUUGUAGCCUCAGGGACUAAAAGAAUGACACAUGGAUAAACAGGAACUAAGCUCCUAAGCUUUUCCCCUACCUGCCAUCUUCCUCACCACGCAUGAGGAUUAGAAGCAUCACAAAGAAAGCAGUCUCGGAAGUUUGUCAAAUAGAGAUUUCUGGGUGAUGGUUUGGGAAAGGAUGAUUUAGAUCGUGCCUCUCCUGGGUCGGGAAAGUGACUGAAACACAUAACAGCAGAGAACUUGAAGUGCUGGUUUGAGCUUCAGGAGAUGUGAGUUCUAGCCCCAGUGCUGCCUGUGAUUUUCUCUGUGACCUGGGACAAGUCCCUUGUGGAUACGACAGGAUAUGCGGGCUACAGGGAUCUCUGAGGCUUCUCCCAGUGAACUUCUCUCAUAUUCUACAUCUUAAGACAAUGGAUAUAUUUUCUCAAACUGGUCAGACAGUUAAAGAGUCAUCUUACAGAUUAUAAAAUAUAUACAUGGCAAGAGAACCAGGACAAUGACUGACUAUGUGACUAUGACUAUGUGACUAUGACCGUAAGACACUAUGAAUGGCUCUUUCUUCCCUAAGCCUGCAUCUGGCUUCAGACCCUUCUCAGCAAGAAGCUCCAGGACAAAUGAGAUAAAGUUAUGCUCCUGGAAGAUGUCCUGGGUUAUAUGUGCAAGAAUGAUGAUCUGGGUUUCUGUGUGAUCUUGAGCAAGAUUCUCCAUCUCUGGGUCUCAAGUUCUUCAUCUGACUACUUCUGUCCAAAGCCACAUUCAGAAGUCACGGUGAACAUUCAGGAACAGCCACACAGGGCAAGGCGUGCUGCAUUCAUCUACUGUGCAACAGUGGGGGAUUCAGGGACAGAGCACAGCCACAGCCUGGUAAAGAAACUGGCAUGGAAACAACUUAUGAUAACUGCGGUAAAAGAGGGAACCCAGGGCACAAGCUUAUGGAAGAAGGCAUGUGUGGGAAUU
rnacentral:lncRNA from 10 species